GCACCGGUGGUGUCUGGGACACACCGCUAUCGCGUCCGAAAGUCCGAAGAAUGAUAUAGCCGGCGGUACGGGGUUUGAUUCCCUGCCGGUGCA